rnacentral:rRNA from 1 species
AAAUUGAAGAGUUUGAUCAUGGCUCAGAUUGAACGCUGGCGGCAGGCCUAACACAUGCAAGUCGAGCGGUAGCACAGAGAGCUUGCUCUCGGGUGACGAGCGGCGGACGGGUGAGUAAUGUCUGGGAAACUGCCUGAUGGAGGGGGAUAACUACUGGAAACGGUAGCUAAUACCGCAUAAUGUCGCAAGACCAAAGUGGGGGACCUUCGGGCCUCAUGCCAUCAGAUGUGCCCAGAUGGGAUUAGCUAGUAGGUGGGGUAACGGCUCACCUAGGCGACGAUCCCUAGCUGGUCUGAGAGGAUGACCAGCCACACUGGAACUGAGACACGGUCCAGACUCCUACGGGAGGCAGCAGUGGGGAAUAUUGCACAAUGGGCGCAAGCCUGAUGCAGCCAUGCCGCGUGUGUGAAGAAGGCCUUCGGGUUGUAAAGCACUUUCAGCGGGGAGGAAGGCGGUGAGGUUAAUAACCUCAUCGAUUGACGUUACCCGCAGAAGAAGCACCGGCUAACUCCGUGCCAGCAGCCGCGGUAAUACGGAGGGUGCAAGCGUUAAUCGGAAUUACUGGGCGUAAAGCGCACGCAGGCGGUCUGUCAAGUCGGAUGUGAAAUCCCGGCUCAACACAGGAACUGCAUUCGAAACUGGCAGGCUAGAGUCUUGUAGAGGGGGGUAGAAUUCCAGGUGUAGCGGUGAAAUGCGUAGAGAUCUGGAGGAAUACCGGUGGCGAAGGCGGCCCCCUGGACAAAGACUGACGCUCAGGUGCGAAAGCGUGGGGAGCAAACAGGAUUAGAUACCCUGGUAGUCCACGCCGUAAACGAUGUCGAUUUGGAGGUUGUGCCCUUGAGGCGUGGCUUCCGGAGCUAACGCGUUAAAUCGACCGCCUGGGGAGUACGGCCGCAAGGUUAAAACUCAAAUGAAUUGACGGGGGCCCGCACAAGCGGUGGAGCAUGUGGUUUAAUUCGAUGCAACGCGAAGAACCUUACCUGGUCUUGACAUCCACAGAACUUUCCAGAGAUGGAUUGGUGCCUUCGGGAACUGUGAGACAGGUGCUGCAUGGCUGUCGUCAGCUCGUGUUGUGAAAUGUUGGGUUAAGUCCCGCAACGAGCGCAACCCUUAUCCUUUGUUGCCAGCGGUUCGGCCGGGAACUCAAAGGAGACUGCCAGUGAUAAACUGGAGGAAGGUGGGGAUGACGUCAAGUCAUCAUGGCCCUUACGACCAGGGCUACACACGUGCUACAAUGGCAUAUACAAAGAGAAGCGACCUCGCGAGAGCAAGCGGACCUCAUAAAGUAUGUCGUAGUCCGGAUUGGAGUCUGCAACUCGACUCCAUGAAGUCGGAAUCGCUAGUAAUCGUAGAUCAGAAUGCUACGGUGAAUACGUUCCCGGGCCUUGUACACACCGCCCGUCACACCAUGGGAGUGGGUUGCAAAAGAAGUAGGUAGCUUAACCUUCGGGAGGCGCUUACCACUUUGUGAUUCAUGACUGGGGUGAAGUCGUAACAAGGUAACCGUAGGGGAACCUGCGGUUGGAUCACCUCCUUACCUUAAAGAA